UAGGGAAUCUUCGGCAAUGGACGAAAGUCUGACCGAGCAACGCCGCGUGAGUGAAGAAGGUUUUCGGAUCGUAAAACUCUGUUGUUAGAGAAGAACAAGGACGUUAGUAACUGAACGUCCCCUGACGGUAUCUAACCAGAAAGCCACGGCUAACUACGUGCCAGCAGCCGCGCUAAUACGUAGGUGGCAAGCGUUGUCCGGAUUUAUUGGGCGUAAAGCGAGCGCAGGCGGUUUCUUAAGUCUGAUGUGAAAGCCCCCGGCUCAACCGGGGAGGGUCAUUGGAAACUGGGAGACUUGAGUGCAGAAGAGGAGAGUGGAAUUCCAUGUGUAGCGGUGAAAUGCGUAGAUAUAUGGAGGAACACCAGUGGCGAAGGCGGCUCUCUGGUCUGUAACUGACGCUGAGGCUCGAAAGCGUGGGAGCAAACAGG
rnacentral:rRNA from 1 species